AGAGUUUGAUCAUGGCUCAGGACGAACGCUGGCGGUGUGCCUAAUACAUGCAAGUCGAACGAUAAGGCCCUUCGGGGUACAUAAGUGGCGGACGGGUGAGCAACACGUAGGAAAUCUGCCUUAAGGAGGGGGACAACAGUUGGAAACGACUGCUAAUACCCCAUAUGUCAUUUGCUGAAAUGCUUAUGAUGAAAGUUCCGGCGCCUUAAGAUGAGCCUGCGUCUGAUUAGCUAGUUGGUGGGGUAAUUGCCUACCAAGGCUAUGACCAGUAGCUGGUUUGAGAGGAUGAUCAGCCACAAUGGGACUGAGACACGGCCCAUACUCCUACGGGAGGCAGCAGUAGGGAAUUUUGCGCAAUGAGCGAAAGCCUGACGCAGCAACACCGCGUGAGCGACCAAGCCCUUCGGGGUGUAAAGCUCUGUCAGUGGGGACGAAUUUUGACGGUACCCACAGAGGAAGCAUCGGCUAACUACGUGCCAGCCGCCGCGGUAAUACA
rnacentral:rRNA from 1 species